UUGAAACUUAAUUUGGUUUUCACUGAACAGUCAUAAUCGGAUGCCGCCUGGAGUUUCCUCAGUUGUAUAACGAACGGAUAAACCCAGUCACCCGUAAAUACAUAUUUGGUUUACUAUUUUUACACGCAAGUUCAAGUUCAAGCCAACGCCACACGUAUUUUCCAGAGAAAACAGGCCGUGUUCUUAUCGUAAAUUGCGUUUACCAUUUAAAAGACCUGUGCUACAGUGAGUACAUUUCUGUAUAAUAUAUUACAAAUUCAAGACGUUGUAAUACAGUAUUUAGAUUCGGGAAGCCCCAGAAAAAUGUUCCGUCUGACAAAACAAGUUUGAAGUGAACUCAUCGUGCUAACCAUAAAUACGUGUUUAUCAGAAUUUAAGUAAGGUUUGAAUCCGUGAAUCCUUAUUAGUACAAUUUCUCUUCUGCAUUAUUUUGGUUUUAAGUUUAGCAUUUAGAUAUUUUCAUGAAGUGCAAAAGAGAAAGCAGGUAACAGAAAAACUAAUUAUGAUGUCACUGGUGUAGCAUGCUGAAUUUUUGACGUUUUUUGGUCAUGCAUAUGAGCGGUAGUCUAAUAUCUCGGAUUGUACAUGUUUCUUUUUAAAAUGUAUUGGCUAGAAUCAAGAUAAUUAAUUGUCACGACAACUAAACAUAGAUAUUAAUUCUCCUGUUUUAAUGUUUUCACAUGAGAAAGUGACCAUAUUUAAUUAUUGCAUAAUGGAACAAUUUCGGUACGUAAAACUUUAAUUUAAAAUGUCAGGUUAUUGAACUUAUAAAUGUGCGGUGUUGAAUCCGCACAUUAGGUACUUUAACCCAUCAAUUUAGAUUUCGUAAUAAAUGUACUUUCCGCAAUAAUAGAAUAA